CUAAGUAUAAGUCAUAUACGGCGAAACUGCGAACGGCUCAUUAAAACAGUUAUAAUUUAUUUGAUAAUGUCUUUAUAUGGAUAACCAUAUUGGGAAACUAUGGCUAAUACAUGCUUAAAGACCUUCGGGUUGUAUUUAUUAGUUUUGACCGAUCUCAGAUCGUGAUGAGUCAUAAUAACUGAUCGAAGCACACUUGUGUGUGCUGAAUUUUUCAAGUUUCUGCCCUAUCAGAUUGUUGGUAGUGUAUUGGACUACCAUGUCGAUCACGGGUAACGGAGAAUUAGGGUUCGAUUCCGGAGAGGGAGCCUGAGAAACGGCUACCACAGCUACGGUAGGCAGCAGGUGCGUAAAUUACCCAAUCCAAAAUCUGGAAGGUAGUUACAGGAAAUUUGUAGCAUAGGAUUCUAUCCUAGACACAAACGAACACAUGUAAGUAUUGUGUGUUUAAUUGGAGGGCAAGUUUUGGUGCCAGCAGCCGCGGUAAUUCCAACUCCAAGAGUGUAUCUUAACGUUGCUGCAGUUAAAAAGCUCGUAGUUGAACUUCUGGCUGUUGAUGAAGCUUAUGUGAAUUCGACAGUCAUCCGCUAGGAGAAGCAGUAUUUCCCUCAAAAGUUUUACUGUCGACCCAGCAUUUUACUUUGAAGAAAUUAGAGUGUUCCUGGCAGGCUUAGUUUGCAUAUAUUAGCAUGGAAUAAUGGAAUAGGACCUUUUCUGUUUUAUUGGUUGACAGAUAGGUAAUGAUUAACAGGGACAGUCGGGGGCAUUCGUACUCAGUGGCUAGAGGUGAAAUUCUUAGAUUCGCUGAAGACGAACUAAUGCGAAAGCAUUUGCCAAGGAUGUUUUCAUUAAUCAAGAACGAAAGUUAGGGGAUCAAAGACGAUUAGAUACCGUCGUAGUCCUAGCCAUAAACUAUACCGACUAGGGAUUGGUGUGGGUCAUAAUCCAUAUCAGCACCUAAUGAGAAAUCAAAGUCUUUGGGUUCUGGGGGGAGUAUGGUCGCAAGGCUGAAACUUAAAGGAAUUGACGGAAAGGCACCACCAGGAGUGGAGCCUGCGGCUUAAUUUGACUCAACACGGGGAAACUUACCAAGACCGGACAUAAGCAGGAUGGACAGACUGUGGCACUUUCUUGAUUCUAUGGGUGGUGGUGCAUGGCCGUUGGCAGUUGGUGAAGCGAUUUGUCUGGUUCAUUCCGAUAACGAACGAGACCUCAAUAUAUUCACUAGUUUUUAUUUUUUUAUUCAGCAAUGGAUUAAAGGACAAACUUCUUAAAUCAGACCAUUCAUUUUUUUUUUCAAAUGAAAGGAAGCUUGAGGCAAUAACAGGUCUGUGAUGCCCUUAGCUGCCUUGGGCUGCACGCGUGUUACAAUGAUGAAUUUCAACGAGUUUUUUUAUUCUUCUUUUUUAUUCCAGCAAUGGGAUGAAAAAGGAGGAUGGGGUAUUUUCAAUAAAAUGGAAAUAUUUUUAUAAAAAUCCUUAUUUGAAAAAAUAGGGGAAUCUUUGGAACAUUCAUCGUAACAGGGCUUGAUCAUUGGAAUUAUUGGUCAUCAACGAGGAAUUCCUAGUAAACAUGAUUCAUCAAAUCAUGUUGAUUACGUCCCUGCCCUUUGUACACACCGCCCGUCGCUUGUACCGAUUGAAUGGUUAGGUGAAACUAUUGGAUUUUUAUUUUUUUUAAAAAGAAAAUAUUUUAACCUCAUUAUUUAGAGGAACAAGAAA
rnacentral:rRNA from 1 species